UGGUGGGAGCAAAGGGGAAGGAAUAAAACAUUGCAGCUCUUCAGCUCUGGAGGCUCAAAGAGAGCAGGAACCUCCUGGCUGGAGAAAACAGCACCACAGAGUUAUCCAGGCUGAGCCCCCCCAGCUCCCUCAGCUGCUCCUGCUGCUCCAGCCCCUUCCCAGGACAUCACCCCGUGCUCUCAGCAGCUUCCCAGCCAGAGGUCCCACAGCAGGUCUGGGGGCUCAAGCACAGCGAUUUUAGCCCCGAGGUGGGAGCAGAGCCCCUCGGGGGGGAGCACAGGGCUCUGGGGGCAGGUCAAGGGGUGCCCCCUCUGCGUGGCACCAGCCCUGGCAGCGCCCUGAGAGCUCCCGACACGGCUCUGAGCCGGGUGCCAAAGGAACAGCCCGACACUUCCCGG